GACGAACGCUGGCGGCGUGCUUAACACAUGCAAGUCGAACGGUAAGGCCCCUCGGGGGUACGACGAGUGGCGAACGGGUGAGUAACACGUGAGCAACCUGCCCUUCGACUCUGGAAUAACAAGUUGGAAACANCUGCUAAUACCGGUUAUGACCUGUCACCGCAUGGUGGGUGGGUGGAAAGUUCCGGCGGUCAGGGAUGGGCUCGCGGCCUAUCAGCUUGUUGGUGAGGUAAUGGCNCACCAAGGCUUCGACGGUAGCCGGCCUGAGAGGGCGACCGGCCACACUGGGACUGAGAUACGGCCCAGACUCCUACGGGAGGCAGCAGUGGGGAAUAUUGCACAAUGGGCGAAAGCCUGAUGCAGCAACGCCGCGUGCGGGA
rnacentral:rRNA from 1 species